rnacentral:rRNA from 1 species
UAUAAAGUUCUAGAUAGACUUAUGAUAAUGACAUUGUCUAUCUAUAAGUCUUGACCAAAUUACGUGCCAGCAGUCGCGGUAAGACGUAAAAGACUAGUGUUAUUCAUCUUUAAUAGGUUUAAAGCGUACCUAGACGGUAAAUAAAGCCUUAAAUGGGACUAAUUUAACUAGAGUUAGAUGUAAGGGUGCACAAACGUACUGUUGAGUUUAGAGAUGAAAUACGAUUAUACCAGAUUAUUGGCACGGGUUUAGGCGAAAGCAUCACCUUAUGUAAUAACUGACGUUGAGGGAMGAAGGCUUUGUGUAGCGAACAGGAUUAGAUACCCUAGUAGUCUUAGCAGAAAAUGAUGAGUGUCAUAGGUUAAAUAUUAUUUAGUCUAUAAAUGAAAGUGUAAGCAUUCCACCUCGAGAGUAAUUUGGCAACAUUGGAAUUGAAAUCAUUAGACCGUUUCUGAAACC